rnacentral:rRNA from 1 species
UACGUAGGAGCAAGCGUUAUCCGGAUUUACUGGGUGUAAAGGGUGCGUAGGCGGCUUGGUAAAGUCUAAAGUGAAAUUUCGGGGCUCAACCCCGGAGCUGCUUCUGAAACUGCUAGGCUAGAGUGUGGGAGAGGAAAGUGGAAUUCCGAGUGUAGCGGUGAAAAUGCGUAGAGAUUCGGAGGAACACCAGUAGCGAAGGCGGCUUUCUGGACCAUAACUGACGCUCAGGCACGAAAGCGUGGGGAGCAAACAGGAUUAGAUACCCUGGUAGUCCCUGA